rnacentral:rRNA from 1 species
GGUCAAUGGCCUAACGGCUGAACCAGCAACUUGGAGGAAUGUAUAUAUAUAUAUUAAUUAAAUGCAAUAUAUAUAAACCGACACUUCGGUUAAAGUUCUGGAUAGAAUACUGAUAAUGACAUUUUUCUAUCUAUAUGUCUUGACCAAAUUUUGUGCCAGCAGUCGCGGCAACACAAAGGAGACAGCGUUAUUCAUCUUUAUUAGGUUUAAAGGGUACCUAGACGGCAUAUCAAGCCCCAAAAGGGAACGGAUAUACUAGAGUUUUAUGUGAGAGGCCUAUAGAACCAUUGGAGUAGAGAUAAAAUUUGAGGAUACCAUUGGGACUGGUAACGGCGAAGGCAAUCCUCUAUGUAAUAACUGACGUUGAGGGACGAAGGCUUGGGUAAUGAAUAGGAUUAGAUACCCUAGUAGUCCAAGCAGAUAAUUAUGAAUGUCAUAGAUUAGUUUGGGAUAGGCUUAGUAAAAUCUUGGUUUAAUCUUGCUCCAAGAUAUAAGUAAAUCCAUUAUAUCAUUGUUUAAUAUUUAUGCAAUAUAUAAGUAAAUCCCUUAUAUUGAUCUAUAAAUGAAAGUGUAAGCAUUCCACCUCAA